rnacentral:rRNA from 1 species
GCCUAACCAUUAACAAAGACAGCCGAACCACAAUACUGUUCGCCAGAGAACUACGAACGAAAAGUUUAAAACUCAAAGGAUUUGGCGGUACCCCAUUCCGACCUAGAGGAGCCUGUCCUAUAAUCGAUACUCCACGCUCUACCCAACCACCCCUUGCAACUCAGCCUAUAUACCGCCGUCGUCAGCUUACCUUGUGAAAGAUACAGAGUAGGCAAAACAGUUAACAACUAACACGUCAGGUCAAGGUGUAGCAUAUGGGGUGGAAGAGAUGGGCUACAUUUUCUGAAACAGAAAACACGAAUGACACGGUGAAACCAGUGUCUGAAGGCGGAUUUAGUAGUAAGGUAAACAAGACAUUUUACCUUAAACCCGCUCUGGGGUGCGCACACACCGCCCGUCACCUCUCA